UACGGGGGGGGGCAAGCCGUUGUUCGGAAUUACUGGGCGUAAAGGGCUCGUAGGCGGCCAACUAAGUCAGACGUGAAAUCCCCUCAGCUUAACUGGGGACCUGCGUCUGAUACUGGAUGGCUUGGAUUCGGGAGAGGAAUGCGGAAUUCCAGGUGUAGCGGUGAAAUGCGUAGAUAUCUGGAGGAACACCGGUGGCGAAGGCGGCAUUCUGGACCGACAUUGACGCUGAGGAGCGAAAGCGUGGGGAGCGAACAGG
rnacentral:rRNA from 1 species